rnacentral:rRNA from 1 species
UAGUUUUAGUGUGAAACUGCGAAUGGCUCAUUAUAUCAGUUAUAGUUUAUUUGGAUGAAUUUUUCUAUGGAUAACCGUAGUAAUUCUAGGGCUAAUACAUGUUAUAAUCUCUUUGAGAUUUUCUUAUUAGAAUAAAACCAAUUGUAUUAGUGAGUAAUAAUAAUAGAAUCGAUCGCAUGCUUUUGUAGCGAUAAUCCUUUCAAGUUUCUGCCCUAUCAGCUUUCGAUGGUAG